GAUGAACGCUAGCGGCAGGCCUAAUACAUGCAAGACGAACGGUAAGUUGAGUAGCAAUACUUAGCCAAGAGUGUCGUACGGGUGCGUAACACGUAUGCAACCUACCCUAUACAGGAGGAUAGCCUAGGGAAACCUGGAUUAACCCUUCAUAGUAUUAUUGGAUGGCAUCAUUUGAUAAUUAAAACUGAGGUGGUAUAGGAUGGGCAUGCGUCUGAUUAGUUAGUUGGCGGGGUAAUGGCCCACCAAGACGAUGAUCAGUAGGGGUUCUGAGAGGAAGAUCCCCCACACUGGCACUGAGAUACGGGCCAGACUCCUACGGGAGGCAGCAGUAGGGAAUAUUGGUCAAUGGAUGCAAGUCUGAACCAGCCAUGCCGCGUGCAGGAAGAAGGCCCUUCUGGGGUUGUAAACUGGCUUUUGCCAGGGGAUAAAAUUCCAUGCGUAGGAAAACUGAAGGUACCUGGUGAAUAAGCCACGGCUAACU
rnacentral:rRNA from 1 species